rnacentral:tRNA from 1 species
GUGCCGCUAGCUCAACAGGCAGAGCAUCCGUCUCUUAAACGGAGGGUUCGGGGUUCGAUUCCCCGGCGGCGCACC